rnacentral:misc_RNA from 1 species
UUUCCAGAGCCUGCAAGAGC